UAUAGGAUCGAUUGGGAUACUCAUCAAAUUAACAUUGAAAACCGAGAACGUUCUGCACGUCAAUGGCGGGCCACGCCUCGAAAGAGGUAACCUUCAUGGUCGGUGGAUUACAAAGAGGUGCGGGCACUCAAAACUUAUCAUACUCGGAGUUUCAUCACAUCUCCUC
rnacentral:sRNA from 1 species